rnacentral:pre_miRNA from 1 species
CUGUGUGUGGAUGGUGUUCAGUACCAGUGACAGGUGUGUAUACAUGUGUGUGGAUGGUGUUCAGCACCAAGGACAGAUGUGUUAACCU